CGCGGCCUAUCAGCUUGUUGGUGGGGUAGUGGCCUACCAAGGCGACGACGGGUAGCCGGCCUGAGAGGGUGACCGGCCACACUGGGACUGAGACACGGCCCAGACUCCUACGGGAGGCAGCAGUGGGGAAUAUUGCGCAAUGGGCGAAAGCCUGACGCAGCGACGCCGCGUGAGGGAUGUCGGCCUUCGGGUUGUAAACCUCUUUCAGUAGGGACGAGGCGCAAGUGACGGUACCUACAGAAGAAGCACCGGCCAACUACGUGCCAGCAGCCGCGGUAAUACGUAGGGUGCAAGCGUUGUCCGGAAUUAUUGGGCGUAAAGAGCUCGUAGGCGGUCUGUCGCGUCGGCUGUGAAAACCCGAGGCCCAACCUCGGGCCUGCAGUCGAUACGGGCAGACUGGAGUACUGCAGGGGAGACUGGAAUUCCUGGUGUAGCGGUGAAAUGCGCAGAUAUCAGGAGGAACACCGGUGGCGAAGGCGGGUCUCUGGGCAGUUACUGACGCUGAGGAGCGAAAGCGUGGGGAGCGAACAGGAUUAGAUACCCUGGUAGUCCACGCCGUAAACGUUGGGCGCUAGGUGUGGGGGCCAUUCCACGGUCUCCGUGCCGCAGCUAACGCAUUAAGCGCCCCGCCUGGGGAGUACGG
rnacentral:rRNA from 1 species